rnacentral:rRNA from 1 species
GGAGUUUGAUCCUGUGCUCAGAAGCGAACUGCUGGCGGACGUGCCUCAAGAGCAUGCAAGUCUGUGCUGAAGANAGUACAACUUCCGGGUGGUCUGAAGUAAGAGCGGUUGCACGGGUUGAAUAAGCGCGUUGGGUAAUACUGCCUUCGGGUUCCGGGACAACUCCGGGAAACUGGAGCUAAUACCGGAUAAGAUCACGGCGUCUUCGGACGCUGUGGAAACAAGGUGGCCUCUUCUUGAAAGCUACCGCCCGUAGAUGAGCCCGCGUCCCAUUAGACUUGUUGGUGAGGUAACGGUUCACCAAGGCGAACUAUGGGUAGCUGGUCUGAGAGGGUGAUCAGCCACACUGGGACGUGAGACACGGCCCAGACUCCUACGGGAGGCAGCAGUGGGGAAUAUUGGACAAUGGGCGCAAGCCUGAUCCAGCAAUGCCGNGUGUGUGAAGAAGGCCUUCGGGUUGUAAAGCACUUUCUAAUCGGGCAAGAAAAGCGCGCGGUUACAGCGGGCGUCUUGACGGUACCGAUACUAGAAGCACCGGCUAAUUCCGUGGCAAGCAGCCGCGGUANUACGGAGGGUGNAACGCGUGAUCGGCAGUACUGGGGGUAAGCGCNCACGGGGGUNGUUUACGUCCUCAUGUGAAGCCCGGGGUCAACUGGGGAACUGGUUUGAUACUGGGCGCAAUAAAAGAGAAGGAAACCUUGUUCGAAAUUCUUUAGUUGGACCCCUUGGCAGGGGUUUUGGCCAAUCGCCCAGGCAACCUGGGGCCCCGUGUACGGCGACCCGGGUUUGUCAUCGCACUGGUAGCAUAGUGGAAGC